GUUGGAUAGUUGUGGAAAGUU
rnacentral:misc_RNA from 1 species